CACCUCGUCUCAUGCGAUUGGUGCAGUGAAAACCUAGCUGCCCAAUCCCCAUCUCCACUCCACUCCGUCGCCUCUCCAUGGCCGACCUCUACCUCCAGCGCCUUGUCCUGUCCUCGCCGCUGUCAGCGCAUUGACGUCUUGUUCAUAAGCCGGCGUCCUCGAUCUGUCAUCGCCUCAUCGGCGGCGGGGCCCGGAGGUGGAGGCGUCGCCUGCAACGCGCCGAUGGCGGGGACUGGACUUGAAGGCGUCGGUGGCGGUGGGUGGAGGCCAGGCGGGUGAGGCCGGAGACGGGCUGGCGCGGGGUGGAUCUGCGUCGGCGGCUUCCGGAGGCGCCGCGGCGGAGUCGGGACGGCGCGGGGCGGAUACGCCGCGGUGACGACCGGAGGCGACGGCGCGGCCGGAGACGGGCCUGCGCGGGGCGGCCGCCUCAAGUGAAGAACCGGUGGGAGGCGCCGGGAUCCGCGGCGGCCCACUGCUGGAGGCGAACUGCGGCGUCGCUGGAGACGGGGAGGGGCGGUGGAGUGCACAAAUUGGCCUACCCAGCGCAGGCCGUGGCGCGUUGCCUCCCCCUCGCGUCUCCUCCUCCGCGACCACAAACCGCCGUCUUCGCGCCUCUCUCCCUCGACCUACCCAGCCUGAGAUGGAGGAGCAGCGAGGGACGCGCUGGGACGGAGGUGGAGGAGCAACGACGAGCGGCUAUUGGGGUGGCGCUGGGUGAAGGGGUGGUGGGGGCAGGCCGACUGGUGCCUUGGCCAUGCCCUCAACUCAUCGCGUCCGCCGUCGUGCCUCUCUCCCUUGGCCUAGCCAGCACUGGAGGCGGAGUAGUGAGAGGCAGCGCUGUGACAGAGGUGGAGGAGGGAGCAGCCACGGGCAGGUGAAGGAGCUGGUGGGGGCAGGCUGACCUCUGCCGGCCGCACUCCCUCGGCCAUUCCCUCGCUUGUCGUCAUCCUGGUCGCCUCUUCCCCAACAGGAGUGUAUUGGCAGACAUACAAGAUCGAUCUGCAGAUCGCGGAAUUCAUGCUGAUGGUCCUCUGAUCCCUGCGUACCAAGGAGGUUAAGCUGGCAUGAUUCAGCGCAAAAUGGGUUGGCAUUUUCUUCUGCUUACCUUACUUAAAGAGGGUAGAAGCUGGUCAUGAUGGCCACUGGAAGUCUGAUAGAGCGAAGAAUAAAAAGGCUGGAAACACCAUUGAUAAUGUGGUAACAGAAGUAUUGGCGGUGCCUUCUGGUAUUAAUAAAUCUGGCAGAAAGGUUUUUGCUGAUGUGAGUGAGUUUGGACCGGCUUGGUUUUCUCCUAAGGCCCUUGAUAUAGACUAACAUAGCGCAUCCAUCAGAUAUGAGGCCCACAGAGAAGGACCUGCUCUUUGCAGUCACGAAGCAGGAGGGGGAGAAGGUACCUCAAAUACGCCUUGCCCAUCGUGCUACCAUGUUUAAUUAGAAGUUACUCGAAAGCGCCAUAGGGACACAACAGGAAAUUAUUCUUGGGCUAUUGGUGAUCACGUGGAUGCAUGGAUCAAAAAUAGGCAUGCCAUUCAGUGUUCUAAAGUGUUAACUUAGCUUUUUUCCAUGGAAAAGGACAAUAAGAUAGCUGCGGAUAGCGCAAUAUGUUGUAGAUUUUCAUAUCCACUUGUGGUCUUUAUGCUCAAUGUUGUGGCGGGUAUCCUAUUUCGGUAUUUUUGUUUGGAAGAUUGCAUAGAAUCUGUAUGCCAUAGAUACAAGUAAAAGUGAGUUUUAGAAACAAUUCUACAACUGUCUUGUUUCAUGUUACAGCGUCAUUCACAUGGUAGCAGGUUCUGGAAUUUGGGUAGUAGGUUGAGUGUGAUAGUAGCGUUCAUUUUUGUACGAAUUAUUUAUCUGAAGCUUGUUUCUCUCCACAAUUGGUGAGAGGGCAUUAUGUGUCCAUCUGAAAUUCUUGGUUUCGUCUCUUAUAUAUAAUUUUUAUUCUCUGAUUAUUCUUUUGCUACAUAGUACUAUGCCCACAUUGAUAUUUACUCUGUUUGUGAUCAUGUUUGUGAUCAGGCAAGGAAGAUUGGAAAGUUGCAUGUUCAACUGCUAUUAUGAGCCUUGUGAUAAGACAAGGCAUCGCUCCUUUCCUGGUCAUUGCUCCUUCUUUUUCGGUAGGAUUUGAAGCUUUCUUUGGCUAAAUCCAUUCAUGCUGGUCUUUUUCUGUUACAUAUGGCACUGUGAGUUAUCAAAUGUCCUGGUCUUUUUGUCUGCAUCCAAAUAUAGCUGCACAAUAUCCAUGUGAAGAGAUCCCUUUUCGGAUCAUGAAGAGCAUGGAGCUUCUCUGAGGGAAAUUAUGCGGAGUCUGAUUACCGUCAGAUAGGGUUUGGGUGUGCAGAAGAUUCUUAUAGCAAUGGCGAUUGCAGAAUUGGUUGGUGUUGUCCGUUACUAUAGCCUGCAGGCUGUCAAGAUGAUGAGGUGACAGGAGGAUGAGCAUCGGCGAGCCACAGAUUGUGGGGCGGCCGAUGACGAGGACAUCCCAAUGAAGGAUUUUGUUACCACUACUAAUUAACAGACCAUGUUGGUGCUGGAGCUUUUGUGAUAAGUAGCAAAGGAGGACAUCGCCCCUUCAAGCCAGCAAGAUGAUUGAUGUACGUUGAUGAAUAAGAGCGCCCAUCCAAGAUACGAAGGUCAAGAUACAGAUGACUGGUGUUUCACAUACAGAUGAAUUUAUUGUUUUGUUUUAUCUUCUAUAACAUAAGCUUUGUUAGCAUUUUUUAUUUUUCUUAGCAGAUUAGGCAGGCAGGAUACUUAGCAAUGCUUGCAUGUGUACUUUUGUUGUGCUUCAUAAUGCAAACAAUUUUGCACAUAGCUCUACAAGAGCAAGAUGAUGUUAAUGCUUUUCCUUUUAUGUGUC